CAUCCUCAGUUCGGACUGGGGUCUGCAACCGACCCCACGAAGCUGGAUUCGCUAGUAAUCGCGCAUCAGCCAUGGCGCGGUGAAUACGUUCCCGGGCCUUGUACACACCGCCCGUCAAGCCAUGAAAGCCGGGGGCGCCUGAAGUCCGUGACCGCGAGGGUCGGCCUAGGGUGAAACCGGUGAUUGGGGCUAAGUCGUAACAAGGUACC
rnacentral:rRNA from 1 species